rnacentral:rRNA from 1 species
GAUGAACGCUAGCGGCAGGCCUAACACAUGCAAGUCGAGGGGCAGCAUAAAACAAGCUUGCUUGUUUGGUGGCGACCGGCAAACGGGUGCGGAACACGUACACAACCUUCCUAUAAGUGGGGAAUAGCCCAGAGAAAUUUGGAUUAAUACCCCGUAACAUAAUGAUGUGGCAUCACAUUAUUAUUAUAGCUUCGGCGCUUAUUGAUGGGUGUGCGGCUGAUUAGAUAGUUGGCGGGGUAACGGCCCACCAAGUCUACGAUCAGUAGCUGAUGUGAGAGCAUGAUCAGCCACACGGGCACUGAGACACGGGCCCGACUCCUACGGGAGGCAGCAGUAAGGAAUAUUGGUCAAUGGACGCAAGUCUGAACCAGCCAUGCCGCGUGAAGGAUUAAGGUCCUCUGGAUUGUAAACUUCUUUUAUCUGGGACGAAAAAAGGCUAUUCUUAGUCACUUGACGGUACCAGAUGAAUAAGCACCGGCUAACUCCGUGCCAGCCGCCGCAGUAAUAC